CCUACGGGAGGCAGCAGUGAGGAAUAUUGGUCAAUGGGCGGGAGCCUGAACCAGCCAAGUCGCGUGAGGGAAGACGGUCCUAUGGAUUGUAAACCUCUUUAGGCGGGGAGCAAUGCCGGGCACGCGUGCCCGGAGGGAGAGUACCCGCAGAAUAAGCAUCGGCUAACUCCGUGCCAGCAGCCGCGGUACUACGGAGGAUGCGAGCGGUAUCCGGAUUUAUUGGGUUUAAAGGGUGCGUAGGCGGAUUUUUAAGUCAGCGGUAAAAUGUCCGGGCUCAACCCGGGCCGGCCGUUGAAACUGGGGAGCUUGAGUGGGCGAGAAGUAUGCGGAAGGCGUGGUGUAGCGGUGAAAUGCAUAGAUAUCACGCAGAACUCCGAUUGCGAAGGCAGCAUACCGGCGCCCGACUGACGCUGAGGCACGAAAGCGUGGGGAUCGAACAGGAUUAGAUACCCGAGUAGUC
rnacentral:rRNA from 1 species